rnacentral:rRNA from 1 species
UACGUAGGGUGCAAGCGUUGUCCGGAAUUAUUGGGCGUAAAGAGCUCGUAGGCGGUCUGUCGCGUCGGCUGUGAAAACUCGGGGCUCAACUCCGAGCUUGCAGUCGAUACGGGCAGGCUAGAGUUCGGCAGGGGAGACUGGAAUUCCUGGUGUAGCGGUGAAAUGCGCAGAUAUCAGGAGGAACACCGGUGGCGAAGGCGGGUCUCUGGGCUGACACUGACGCUCAUGCACGAAAGCGUGGGGAGCAAACAGG